AUGCAGUCGAACGAGAAUCUGCGGAAAGAGGAUUCGUCCAAUUGAAGCAGAGGACAGUGGCGGACGGGUGAGUAACGCGUGAGGAACCUGCCUUUCAGAGGGGGACAACAGUUGGAAACGACUGCUAAUACCGCAUGACAUAUAGAUGUCGCAUGGCAUUUAUAUCAAAGAUUUAUCGCUGAAAGAUGGCCUCGCGUCUGAUUAGCUAGUUGGUGAGGUAACGGCCCACCAAGGCGACGAUCAGUAGCCGGACUGAGAGGUUGAACGGCCACAUUGGGACUGAGAUACGGCCCAGACUCCUACGGGAGGCAGCAGUGGGGAAUAUUGGGCAAUGGGCGCAAGCCUGACCCAGCAACGCCGCGUGAAGGAAGAAGGCUUUCGGGUUGUAAACUUCUUUUGUCAGGGACGAGUAGAAGACGGUACCUGACGAAUAAGCCACGGCUAACUACGUGCCAGCAGCCGCGGUAAUACGUAGGUGGCAAGCGUUGUCCGGAUUUACUGGGUGUAAAGGGCGUGUAGCCGGGAGGGCAAGUCAGAUGUGAAAUCCACGGGCUCAACUCGUGAACUGCAUUUGAAACUACUCUUCUUGAGUAUCGGAGAGGCAAUCGGAAUUCCUAGUGUAGCGGUGAAAUGCGUAGAU
rnacentral:rRNA from 1 species